rnacentral:rRNA from 1 species
UCAACCUGGUUGAUCCUGCCAGUAGUCAUAUGCUUGUCUUAAAGAUUAACCCAUGCAUGUGUAAGUAUAGUAUCAUACAGCGAAACUGCGAAUGGCUCAUUAAAUCAGUUAUAGUUUAUUUGAUGGAUAAAGGAUAUGGAUAACCGUAGAAAAUCUAGAGCUAAUACAUGCUUGAAAGCCUGCUUUAAAAGGGC